GGAAAGGCCUCUUCGGAGGUACUCGAGUGGCGAACGGGUGAGUAACACGUGGGCAAUCUGCCCUGCACUUCGGGAUAAGCCUGGGAAACUGGGUCUAAUACCGGAUAGGACCUUAAGACGCAUGUCUUUUGGUGGAAAGCUUUUGCGGUGUGGGAUGGGCCCGCGGCCUAUCAGCUUGUUGGUGGGGUGACGGCCUACCAAGGCGACGACGGGUAGCCGGCCUGAGAGGGUGUCCGGCCACACUGGGACUGAGAUACGGCCCAGACUCCUACGGGAGGCAGCAGUGGGGAAUAUUGCACAAUGGGCGCAAGCCUGAUGCAGCGACGCCGCGUGGGGGAUGACGGCCUUCGGGUUGUAAACCUCUUUCACCAUCGACGAAGGUCCGGGUUUUCCCGGAUUGACGGUAGGGG
rnacentral:rRNA from 1 species